rnacentral:rRNA from 1 species
AUUGGACGCUGGCGGCAUGCCUUACACAUGCAAGUCGAACGGCAGCACGGGUGCUUGCACCUGGUGGCGAGUGGCGAACGGGUGAGUAAUACAUCGGAACGUACCUUAUCGUGGGGGAUAACGCAGCGAAAGUUGCGCUAAUACCGCAUACGCCCUGAGGGGGAAAGCGGGGGACCGUAGGCCUCGCGCGAUUAGAGCGGCCGAUGUCUGAUUAGCUUGUUGGUGAGGUAAAAGCUCACCAAGGCGAUGAUCAGUAGCUGGUCUGAGAGGACGAUCAGCCACACUGGGGCUGAGACACUGCCCAGACUCCUACGUGAGGCAGCAGUGGCGAACUUUGGACAAUGGGGGCAACCCUGAUCCAGCAAUGCCGCGUGAGUGAAGAAGGCCUUCGGGUUGUAAAGCUCUUUUGUCAGGGAAGAAACAGCAGCUCUAACACAGUCUGCGAAUGACGGUACCUGAAGAAUAAGCACCGGCUAACUACGUGCCAGCCGCCGCCGUAA